UACAUGGGGUGCAAACGUUGCUCGGAAUUAUUGGGCGUAAAGCGCACGUAGGCGGUUUGUUAAGUCGGAUGUGAAAUCCCUCGGCUCAACUGAGGAAGUGCAUCCGAAACUGGCAGGCUUGAGUACUAAAGAGGGUCGCGGAAUUCCCGGUGUAGAGGUGAAAUUCGUAGAUAUCGGGAGGAACACCGGUGGCGAAGGCGGUUCUCUGGGCAUUACCUGACGCUGAGGAGCGAAAGUGUGGGGAGCGAACAGG
rnacentral:rRNA from 1 species